AGUAAGGUCAGCUAAAUAAGCUAUCGGGCCC
rnacentral:ncRNA from 5 species